UGAGGAAUAUUGGUCAAUGGGCGAGAGCCUGAACCAGCCAAGUAGCGUGCAGGAUGACGGCCCUAUGGGUUGUAAACUGCUUUUAUAUGGGAAUAAAGUGAGGGACGUGUCCCUUAUUGCAUGUACCAUACGAAUAAGGACCGGCUAAUUCCGUGCCAGCAGCCGCGGUAAUACGGAAGGUCCAGGCGUUAUCCGGAUCUAUUGGGUUUAAAGGGAGCGUAGGCUGUUUGUUAAGCGUGUUGUGAAAUGUAAGAGCUCAACUUUUAGCUUGCAGCGCGAACUGUCAGACUUGAGUGCGCACAACGUAGGCGGAAUUCAUGGUGUAGCGGUGAAAUGCUUAGAUAUCAUGAAGAACUCCGAUUGCGAAGGCAGCUUACGGGAGCGCAACUGACGCUGAAGCUCGAAGGUGCGGGUAUCGAACAGG
rnacentral:rRNA from 1 species